UGACGUGGAUUAUGCUUUGGCCGCCUAGGCAAAAGCACAGUCGUCCUGACUGGUAACGGUCAGCGAUUAUAACCGGGUGAAUUGCUGGAAACCCCUUAGAGCGUUUUUCCCCACAGCGAAGUUGGAAACGACAGGUGCGACGGGUAAAAAGAAGAGCGAUUGGGCAAUCAGCAGCCAAGCUCCUGUUCCGAAAGGAUGGAGAAGGUUCAACGACUAGGAUAGACCAUCUAAAAGCAAAGCUUAUGAUGAUGAAAUCCUUAGGUGCGGCGCCUGCCAAUCCGAAGUGCCCGGCCCCUAUCUUUUAAAGAAGGGUGAAGAGAUAGUCUAGUCAUUUAUGAAAGUAAAUG
rnacentral:ncRNA from 1 species